rnacentral:rRNA from 1 species
UACGGAAGGUCCUGGCGUUAUCCGGAUUUAUUGGGUUUAAAGGGAGCGUAGGCGGGUGGUUAAGCGUGCUGUGAAAUACCGCGGCUCAACCGUGGGAGUGCAGCGCGAACUGGCCUCCUUGAGUAGGCGGAAGGUACGCGGAAUUCGUGGUGUAGCGGUGAAAUGCUUAGAUAUCACGAGGAACCCCGAUUGCGAAGGCAGCGUGCCGCAGCCUUACUGACGCUGAAGCUCGAAGGUGCGGGUAUCGAAC